ensembl:lncRNA
AGAUAUGGGAAGAAGCAACAAGAGGAAAUAUUUUCCUGGACCAGGAGGCAAGACAGGUAUGGUCCAGAGACUUUUGCUACUUACACGGCCUAGUGACAACACAUUGAGUGGCCUGUCAAUGGAAUCUUUGUUAAGCCAGGGAAUGAGUCUUCCUAGAACCGUGGGACAAAAUUACCAUGAAAUGCCCCCAAGACACGGUCAAAUAUGUGCCUAUGAAGGGGCCCUGCUGACUGGAAGUUGGCCCUUGCCAGCUGUCUCUACAAAGAUUAAAUCAUGACCACUGCAAGAUGCUGACCUUCAACACCCCCUUGAAAGGAGUUCAAGAGAAACACUAAUGUGAUGAAGCAAUGUCUGGACCUGGUUCUCCUAGCUAGCACCUCAGCAGCUUUCCUACUUCUAUUAACCUUGGGGCCAUAUUAUUUUUAACUGUCUUGUUAAAUUUGUUUCUCCAAGUAGUAGUACGAUAAAAAUAUCCCCUGGCCAACGCCCAGACAACGCUGAAACAAGCUGUCUUAUCAUUCUGUGGACUCAUAUCCCUCCAUAAAUGCACCCCGAGGUCCUCAGGCUACUCUGCCUUUGAGAUCUUACAUGGAAGACCACCCCCAGUGUAAAAAAGCUCAAGGAAGACCACCAACAACUAGCUGACCUGAAGAUGUCCCAACACCUCCGGGCCCUGGAAAAGUCUUCUGCCAUAUCAGAAAGGACAGAAAGGACACCCCCUUUGGGCAGUUGGGUUCAUCCCUAUCAGCCAGGAGAUGAGGUAUGGGUUAAAGUUUAAAAACAAAAACAAAAAUCACUUCAGCCAGUUUGGACAGGCCCUCACACAAUUGUCCUGGCAACCCCGACUGCUGUUAAAGUUACAGGUGUCAUCUCUUGGAUCCACCACACCUGAGUCAAGAAGGCAGUGGCUUCCUGUGAUGAGGACACCUGGAAAGCAGUUUGGGACCCCCCAAAACCUCCUCAAGGUCCAGUUCCAAAGACAACAGCUCUCAUCCACGAAGGACGAGAGCCCUGGUCUAGUCACUCCAGAAGCUGACUAGUCAACACACGGCAGAAGCUUGAGGAUUCUUCAGCCUUGCACUAGCCACACUCUGGCAGCUGACCGAUCAACACACGAUGGAAGCUUGAGGAUUCAGCCAUUGAAAUAUCGAUGGAUUUUCAUUGUCAACCCUGGCCUCUAUCCCUAAUCAGUAUUAUUGCUGUGCUUUUUGUUAUAGGACCAACUAGACUUCCUGGCUGAAGUGGUUUUACAGAAUAGGAGAGGGCUAGACUUACUGACUGGAGAAGGAAAUGGCAACCCACUCCAGUAUUCUUGCCUGGAGAAUCCCAGGGACAGAGGAGCCUGGUGGGCUUCUGUCUACAGGGUUGCACAGAGUCAGACAUGACUGAAGUGACUUAGCAGCAGCAGCAGACUUACUGACAGCUGAAAAGAGAAGACUCUGCCUCUUCUUGAAUGAAAAAUGCUGCUUUUAUGUAAACCAUUCAGAAAUAGUCAGGGACAUGGCCCAACAGCUAAGGGAACAAAUCAUAAAAAGGAGAGAGAAACUAGCUAAUUCCUGGUGUAUUGGAGAAAUACCUGGAGCUGGACAUUGUGGCUUCUCCCUUUAAUAGUUCCUCUCUUCAUGCUUUGUGG